rnacentral:rRNA from 1 species
CCUACGGGAGGCAGCAGUGAGGAAUAUUGGUCAAUGGGCGCGAGCCUGAACCAGCCAAGUCGCGUGAGGGAAGACGGUCCUAUGGAUUGUAAACUUCUUUUGUCGGGGAGCAAAAGACGCCACGCGUGGCGUUCCGAGAGUACCCGAAGAAAAAGCAUCGGCUAACUCCGUGCCAGCAGCCGCGGUAAUACGGAGGAUGCGAGCGUUAUCCGGAUUUAUUGGGUUUAAAGGGUGCGCAGGCGGAAGAUCAAGUCAGCGGGAAAAUUGAGAGGCUCAACCUCUUCGAGCCGUUGAAACUGGUUUUCUUGAGUGGGCGAGAAGUAUGCGGAAUGCGUGGUGUAGCGGUGAAAUGCAUAGAUAUCACGCAGAACUCCGAUUGCGAAGGCAGCAUACCGGCGCUCAACUGACGCUCAUGCACGAAAGUGUGGGUAUCGAACAGGAUUAGAUACCCUUGUAGUC